rnacentral:rRNA from 1 species
UACGAGGGGGGCAAGCGUUGUUCGGAAUUAUUGGGCGUAAAGGGUGCGUAGGCGGUUUUGUAAGUCUUGUGUGAAAUCUUCAGGCUCAACUUGAAGACUGCACGAGAAACUGCAGGGCUUGAGUGUGGGAGAGGUGAGUGGAAUUCCUGGUGUAGCGGUGAAAUGCGUAGAUAUUGGGAGGAACACCAGUGGCGAAGGCGGCUCACUGGACCGGUACUGACGCUGAUGCGCGAAAGCGUGGGGAGCAAACGGG